rnacentral:rRNA from 1 species
UUUUACAAUGGAGAGUUUGAUCCUGGCUCAGGAUGAACGCUAGCUACAGGCUUAACACAUGCAAGUCGAGGGGAAACGAUAGAGAAAGCUUGCUUUUUCUAGGCGUCGACCGGCGCACGGGUGAGUAACGCGUAUCCAACCUGCCCACCACUUGGGGAUAACCUUGCGAAAGUAAGACUAAUACCCAAUGAUAUCUCUAGAAGACAUCUGAAGGAGAUUAAAGAUUUAUCGGUGAUGGAUGGGGAUGCGUCUGAUUAGCUUGUUGGCGGGGUAACGGCCCACCAAGGCGACGAUCAGUAGGGGUUCUGAGAGGAAGGUCCCCCA